UUUUUUUUUUUAAUUUUUAUUUAUUUAUGAUAGUUACAGAGAGAAAGAGAGGCAGAGACACAGGCAGAGGGAGAAGCAGGCUCCAUGCACCGGGAGCCCGACGUGGGACUCGAUCCCGGGUCUCCAGGAUCGUGCCCUGGGCCAAAGGCAGGCGCCAAACCGCUGCGCCACCCAGGGAUCCCGGAAAAGACCCUUUUUGAAAACAGGAUGCCAGGAUACUGGUGUCUAAGCAAAGCUCUGGAGGCAUCCUACCAAUUUGAUUCUUGAGGCUGAAGCUGAGAUCUAUUUUGAUUUCAGAAUGACCCACAAUCAUAGGCAGUUUAUCUGAUUGUGUGUUCCAAGUGAAACCCCAAAGCCUUCUAGGUGCUAGGAUUUGUAGGUGUGGUUUGUGGAUUUUAAAGACAGCAGAGAUAGUAUAAGAAAAAAGGAAAAAUAAAAAACAGGAGGUAGUUUUAGCAGAUUUGAACCUAUAUUGGUUCUCAAGAGAACAUACAAUUUUUACCUAGAGUCUCACUUCGUUCUGGAAUAACUGUUAAAAUACUGUUAACUGGUUACUGCUUCUACACUAGUAGUACAUUACUUCACUCUAGCCAUCAGGGGAAAAGUAUUAUUUUCUAUUUUUUAAAUAAUUUAUUUGUCUUAAAAAAUGAAUGGUAACAUCAAGUAGGCAUCCUUUUGAGUUGUUUUUAAAAAAAGGAAAGAAAAAAGUCUUGGUAUCUCUCUUCGUCAUGGUCAGACCCACUAUCUGCAAUAGACAAUGCAGAUAAGCAUGGCUAUAAUAAUAAUGAUGAUUUGUGAAUUUAUACAGAUUGUCUCUUUCUUCAGAGCAACUCAAAACAUUUUCUUUCCCAUAGUAUUUAAAAUAAGAUUUGAAAUCUCCUUGUCUUGUUGCAGAAAUGCCUUGCCUUCUCCUAAUCUGACGUGACAUGACUGGGUUCUGAUUGAAGGACCAAGCAGUAGAAGGUAAGCUCAUUCACAUCUUUCUUGCUCCACUUAUGCAUGUCUGUUGUGAGAUGCCAGGUGUUUGUCUAUUCUGCAAGCAGGUUUAUUGCCUGAAAAUGAGCUCCCUCUUUCUGAAAAACUUACUUUUGUAAAUAAAUCGUAUUAAAAAUAUCAGAGCAAAAAAAAAUAAAAAAAAUAACUUUUUGGCUUUACCAAAUGCUUUGACAUUUGUCCUUCCAAUCAUGUCUUUUAGCUCCAGGAUCUUAAAAUUUGGAAGCAGCUCCCACCUCAUAUCGCUUUUCUAUCAAAAUCAACCCCUGAAAGUUAAAUGGAUAUUUAACAAGCUGUCAGGUGAAACAGAAUAACACUGUGCUUUUCAAGACCCACCUACGGAUUAAAGGCUACCCUUCACAAUUUUAGUAAUCAUUUAAGUAAAUGUAACACCCAAGCCUAGAAACUGCCUCUCUCUGCACCACUGCAAUUCUUGAAAUCCUUUCCUGGCCUUUCAUGCAGAUGCUCAGAAACAGGGUGGGGCUCCUAGUCUUGCAUGCAAUGUUAAGGGAGUCUAUGCUGCAAAGAAAACUCAAUUAAUCGUUCAUAUUCCCGUUUUUCAGUAUCUUUCACAAAUAUCUUGGAAAUAAUCAUAUUUAGGAGUGCCAUUAUUUCUCAUGUUAAGAUUUAGAUUAAAAUAUUUAUAUCAAACUAAAUGUUAUCUGCAUGAGCAUGGAUGACAGGUAUUGAAAUGAAGGUGACAAGUCAAGGAAUCGGGAAAAACCUCCCUGAAGAAAAGAAGGGAAGAGGAAAUGGACUUCUGUUUAUGGAUGGCUGCAGGAGCUUUCUCUUUCUUUUAUUACUAUUAUUGUUUUUUUAUUGAGGGGGGGCCAGCAGGUACAGUUCUUUCAGAGUCUACAAGUAAAAUCCAACCCUGUAAGCCAUUCUGGUUCCCUUAUGAGUCAGCAGGCCACUGAGCAGUUCAGACAGUGCAGCCCAGAGUAAAUGGACAAGAGCUGUCUUUGGACACACCCAUUUUACUAAUCCUGACGCUGAUUUUUUUUUUUUAAUUAUCUUUAUGUUACUUGGUGUCUGACCUCAGAACUUGCAUCAAAAACUGCAGCCGUUCACCUCCACCAAAGACUCAGGCCCCAAUGUGGAAGCACUCUCCUUCAGCUCUUUUACUGACUAGCACAAUUGGAUUAGGGCUUAUCCCUCCAUGGGCAACUCCUGUUUCUUUUUCUCUCUAGUCUGCAUGUUAUCAGCUUGACAUUCCCUUCAGUGGCAUAUGACAAAUCAAAUUGCCCAUCAUUGCACUCAUCAAAGGAGGAUGUUUUCUAUUUCCGAGGACUGUUUCCUCCACUCCAUUCACAAUCAUGGACACAUCAAAAAAAAAAAAAAAAAG
rnacentral:lncRNA from 1 species